CAGCAGCGCGAUGGCUCCAGCGGGGCGGCCGGCGAGAGCUCACAUUACAUCACCGCGGGCAGCACCGCCUCGGCUCAGCGCAGCUCGCGGGCACCGACAGGCUCGCACCGAGCCCCAGUGCAGCUCCUUACUCCAGCUGAAGGUCUCAUGCCGUGAGCUAAACCCCUCACAGGAAUUGGGCUUGGGCUGCUUACACACCUUCCCUAAGAAUAUUCAGCCGCACUGUAGCAAGAGACUCACAUUCCCCGAUUUGCUUAGAGAUACAAAGACUCUGCAUAAAUCUGCCUUGCAGAUGAUUUGAGAAUGAAACUUGAUCAUCCAUUCAUGCUGCUUACAAAGAAAGAUGAGACGACAGAUCUCAGAGGCAGAGGUGGAUGAACUGAAACUAUUAGCCUCCCAGGCACCUGCCACACACUCUGGUUCCAUCCAGGAUGGGUGCUGCCAUGGGAAUGGCACUUGAGCUGCUCCCACAGGUCCAGCCUGCUGCUCAGGAUCCUCUGCCCCUGUUCCAAGGAAUACCUGUGCCACAGGAGGGUGGAAUGUUGGCUCAGCUGCAGGAGGAACCCCAAAGCCCACCGCUGUCAACAAGAGCUCCAAGCAAGCACAGAGCUUUGCCAGCAUGAAAUCCCAUUUCCUGAGCAGUGACAAGUAUUGUGUGAAAAUUUUAUUUUCUUUGCAAACUCUAUCACUCUCUUAAAUCCUCGGAUUUUUUUUUUAUUUUUUUUUUUUUACCACUGCAAAGAAUAAAGCUCGAGAUAAAAGCAUCUGACCAGCCACAGCAAAAAUACAGUAAGAGGCCAUGAAAAGGAGCUUUUAUGCCCAAAUAUAUUUUAACACAACUGAAAAUGAACAGCUUGGCAGCAACAAAUAAAGGCUUUUCUAAUUCAGUGGUGUAUGAGUUAAAAGGUCACAUGAUGAUGGAUUUUUAGAAUUAAUUAAUUUAAUACAAUUAAUUUCCAUUCAUGAAAUAAACAGUUAACUGAAAAAAA